rnacentral:rRNA from 1 species
UACGACUACAUAUCAGGCAUAUCAAUAAGCGGAGGAAAAGAAACUAACAAGGAUUCCCCUAGUAACGGCGAGUGAAGCGGGAAGAGCUCAAAUUUGAAAUCUUAAAGGGUUUCCCUUUACGAAUUGUAGUUUAAAGAAGUGUUUUCUGUUGGAGUUUCGGUAAAAGUUCUUUGGAAUAGGACAUCAUAGAGGGUGAGAAUCCCGUAUUUGACCAUUUCUUCCAGCUGUGUGAUACACUUUCAAAGAGUCGGAUUGUUUGGGAAUGCAGUCCAAGAUGGGUGGUAAAUUUCAUCUAAAGCUAAAUAUUGGCGAGAGACCGAUAGCGAACAAGUACCGUGAGGGAAAGAUGAAAAGAACUUUGAAAAGAGAGUUAAACAGUACGUGAAAUUGUCAAAAGGGAAGCGUUUGACACCAGUGUUGUUUUCUCGAAAAUCAAUUAAAAAUGACCGGAUUUUGUGUUGUAUUGACUUUAUCAGCUUUCUGCACUUUUUUCUUGUCUUUUUUAAUGCACUUUUCGUUUAACAAGUCAACAUCAAUUUCUUUUGUUGUAAAAGGGUCAUUGGAAGGUGGCUUUCACUUCGGUGAAAGUGUUUAUAGCCUUUGACUCCUGCAAUCGGAGAGACUGAGGUCUGCAGCGUAGAUCCUUCUGGGAUUAGAUUACAGUUAGAUGCUAAGUUAUAGCUUUUCAUAGACAACUUGUUGACUAUGUUUAGUCUUGUAGCUUACUCGCUUAUGUAUUUUACCUACGCUUAGGAUGUUGACGCGCGUGUGUGCGUG